AGUUCUAGUAUAUAAAGUAUAUUUGGUUUCCAACCAAAAGGUCUUAUGGAAUAG
rnacentral:tRNA from 1 species